rnacentral:rRNA from 1 species
CCUACGGGAGGCAGCAGUGGGGAAUAUUGCGCAAUGGGCGAAAGCCUGACGCAGCGACGCCGCGUGAGGGAUGAAGGUCUUCGGAUCGUAAACCUCUGUCAGCAGGGAAGAACGGUCACUGUGCUAAUCAGCAGUGAAUUGACGGUACCUGCAAAGGAAGAACCGGCUAACUCCGUGCCAGCAGCCGCGGUAAUACGGAAGGUGCGAGCGUUAAUCGGAAUUACUGGGCGUAAAGCGCUCCUAGGCGGUAUGUCAAGGCAAGGGGUAAAUCCCCGAGCUCAACGUGGGAACUGCCUUUUAAACUGGCAAACUGUAGUUUGUGAGAGGAUAGUGGAAUUCCAGGUGGAGGAGUGAAAUCCGUAGAUAUCUGGAGGAACAUCAGUGGCGAAGGCGACUAUCUGGCACAUAACUGACGCUGAGGAGCGAAAGCGUGGGUAGCAAACAGGAUUAGAUACCCCUGUAGUC